rnacentral:rRNA from 1 species
CAUAGCGACUAUCGUGGCAUAUCAAUAAGCGGAGGAAAAGAAACUAACAAGGAUUCCCUUAGUAACGGCGAGUGAAGCGGGAAGAGCUCAAAUUUGAAAUCUUCAAGGUUUUACCUUGACGAAUUGUAGUUUAAAGAAGUGUUUUCUGUUGGAGUUUUGGUAAAAGUUCUUUGGAAUAGGACAUCAUAGAGGGUGAGAAUCCCGUAUUUGACCAUUAUUUCCAGCUUUGUGAUACACUUUCAAAGAGUCGGAUUGUUUGGGAAUGCAGUCCAAAAUGGGUGGUAAAUUUCAUCUAAAGCUAAAUAUUGGCGAGAGACCGAUAGCGAACAAGUACCGUGAGGGAAAGAUGAAAAGAACUUUGAAAAGAGAGUUAAACAGUACGUGAAAUUGUCAAAAGGGAAGCGUUUGACACCAGUGUUGUUUUCUCGAAAAUCAAUUAAAAAUGAUGGGAUUUUGUGUUGUAUUGACUUUAUCAGCUUUCUGCACUUUUUUCUUAGUCUUUUUUAAUGCACUUUUCGUUUAACAAGUCAACAUCAAUUUCUUUUGUUGUAAAAGAGUCAUUGGAAGGUGGCUUUUCAUUCGGUGAAAAGUGUUUAUAGCCUUUGACUUCUGCAAUCGGAGAGAUUGAGGUCUGCAGCGUAGAUCCUUCGGGGUUAGAUACAUUUGUGCUAAGCUAUAGUUCUUUAUAGACAACUUGUUGACUAUAGUCUAGUCCUGUGACUUACUCGCUUAUGCUAUUUUACCUACGCUUAGGAUGUUGAUAGUCACAGCGUGUAC